UGGGGGAUAUUGCACAAUGGGCGAAAGCCUGAUGCAGCGACGCCGCGUGGGGGAUGAAGGCUUUCGGGUUGUAAACCUCUUUCGCUAUCGAACAAGGCCCGCUUAGGGUGGGUUGAGGGUAGGUGGAGAAGAAGCGCCGGCUAACUACGUGCCAGCAGCCGCGGUAAUACGUAGGGCGCGAGCGUUGUCCGGGAUUAUUGGGCGUAAAGGGCUUGUAGGCGGCUUGUUGCGCCUGCUGUGAAAACGCGGGGCUUAACUGCGCUCGUGCAGUGGGUACUGGCAGGCUUGAGUGUGGUAGGGGUGACUGGAAUUCCAGGUGUAGCGGUGGAAUGCGCAGAUAUCUGGAGGAACACCGAUGGCGAAGGCAGGUCACUGGGCCAUUACUGACGCUGAGGAGCGAAAGCAUGGGUAGCGAACAGG
rnacentral:rRNA from 1 species